AGUAAUGUCUGGGAAACUGCCCGAUGGAGGGGGAGUAACUACUGGAAACGGUAGCUAAUACCGCAUAACGUCGCAAGACCAAAGAGGGGGACCUUCGGGCCUCUUGCCAUCGGAUGUGCCCAGAUGGGAUUAGCUAGUAGGUGGGGUAAAGGGCUCACCUAGGCGACGAUCCCUAGCUGGUCUGAGAGGAUGACCAGCCACACUGGAACUGAGACACGGUCCAGACUCCUACGGGAGGCAGCAUG
rnacentral:rRNA from 1 species